rnacentral:rRNA from 1 species
CAGCCGCCGCGGUAAUACGUAGGUGGCAAGCGUUGUCCGGAAUUAUUGGGCGUAAAGCGCGCGCAGGCGGAUAGGUCAGUCUGUCUUAAAAGUUCGGGGCUUAACCCCGUGAUGGGAUGGAAACUGCCAAUCUAGAGUAUCGGAGAGGAAAGUGGAAUUCCUAGUGUAGCGGUGAAAUGCGUAGAUAUUAGGAAGAACACCAGUGGCGAAGGCGACUUUCUGGUCGAAAACUGACGCUGAGGCGCGAAAGCCAGGGGAGCGAACGGGAUUAGAUACCCGCGUAGUCCCUGUCUCUUAUACA